ensembl:snoRNA small nucleolar RNA, C/D box 38B
UCUCCGUGAUGAGAACUUUGUCCAGUUCUGCUACUGAUUUGGAAGUGAGGAUAAAGUACACCUGAGGAGA